rnacentral:tRNA from 1 species
GCUCCCGUAGCCCAAUUGGCAGGAGGCGCCUGACUUAGGAUCAGGACAGUGUGGGUUCGAAUCCCUCCGGGAGUAC